GUGCCAGCCGCCGCGGUAAUACGGAGGGUGCAAGCGUUGUCCGGAAUCACUGGGUGUAAAGGGUGUGUAGGCGGGAUUGUAAGUCAGAGGUGAAAUCUUGCGGCUCAACCGUAAAAUUGCCUUUGAUACUGCAGUUCUUGAGUCCCGGAGAGGUUGUUGGAAUUCGUGGUGUAGCGGUGAAAUGCGUAGAUAUCACGAGGAACACCAGAGGCGAAAGCGAACAACUGGACGGGUACUGACGCUAAGGCACGAAAGCGUGGGGAGCAAACAGGAUUAGAUACCCCAGUAGUC
rnacentral:rRNA from 1 species